rnacentral:tmRNA from 1 species
GGGGGCGUACCGGCUUCGACGUGAGCGGUUAGCGCCUAGCGAGACGAGCCGAGUUUGCUGGAGACUCGUUAAACGCCGGCACCACAAGAUACACGCCGAUAACGAUAUGGCUCUGGCUGCCUAACUAAAACGGUAGCCGAUCGGUCCGGGUAGCCCACGGCUCGGGUACCGGUCUCAUUUUAGUGGGCUUACCCUACGGGUCCUGGCCCGGGGCACGUAGGGAACACUCAACGGGCUAGCCUCUCGGCGGUGCCCCGGUCCGUCGAGGCGGGCGAAACGAAACUGGGAGCGACGCUCGUACAAUCUCGUGGGCAGCACGUUCGCGGACGCGGGUUCGAUUCCCGCCGCCUCCACUA